rnacentral:rRNA from 1 species
UCCCGUUGAUUCUGCGGGAGAUUGCUGCUAUUGGGAUUCCAAUUAGCCAUGCAAGUCUGGGUUCUUCGGAAACCGGCAAACUGCUCAGUAACACGUCGAUAAUCUGUCCUAUGGUCUGGAAUAGCCUCGAGAAAUUGAGGGUAAAACUGGAUAGGAGAUUAAUACUGGAAUGUAUUUUCUCUGAAACUCGAGCCAUAGGGUGAGUCGGCGGCGGAUUAGACUGUUGGUGUGGUAAUGGCGCACCAAAUCUAAGAUCUGUAGGGGGAAUGAGAGUUCUAGCCCCGAGAAGGGCACUGAGACAAGGGCCCUAGCCCCAAGGGGUGCAGCAGGCAGGAAACCUUUACAAUGCGCGCAAGCGUGAUAAGGGAAUCCCAAGUGCUUGUACUUAGUACAAGCUUUUGCUAAGUGUAAAUAGCUUGGCGAAUAAGUGGUGGGAAAGACUGGUGCCAGCCGCCGCGGUAACACCAGCGCCACAAGUGGUGAUCGUUUUUAUUGGGUCUAAAGCGUCCGUAGCAGGUGAUGCAAAUCUUUUGUGAAAUUGUUGGGCUUAACUCAACAACGUGCAAGAAACACUACAUCACUAGAGACCGGGAGGAGACAGAAGUAUGCUGUGGGGAGCGGUAAAAUGUUAUAAUCCACAGUAGACUACCUAUGGCGAAGGCAUCUGUCUAGAACGGUUCUGACUGUCAGGGACGAAAGCUGGGGGAGCAAACUGGAUUAGAUACCCAAGUAGUCCUAGCUGUAAACGCUGCGAGCCAUGUAUUGCAUAUUCUUUGUGGAUGUGCAGUGCUGUAACGAAGGUGUUAAGCUCGCCACCUGGGAAGUACGGUCGCAAGGCUGAAACUUAAAGAAAUUGGCGGGGGAGCACUACAAGGGGUGCGACGUGCGGUUCAAUCUAACUCCACACAGAGAAUCUCACCAGCAGCGACGGCAGGUUGAAGGUCAGAUUAAAGGUUUUACCUGACGAGCCGAGAGGUGGUGCAUGGCCGACGUCAGCUCGUGCCGUAAGGUGUCCUCUUAAGUGAGGUAACGAGCGAGAUCUAUAUCUACAAUUGCUAACAGGUUCUACGGAACGACUGAGAACAUUGUAGGGACUGCCUUGGAAACAAGGAGGAAGGUGUAGGCAACGUUAGGUCUGUAUGCCCCGAAUCUGCUGGGCUACACGCGCGUAACAAUGGCAAGAACAAUGGGAUGCAACAUCGAAAGAUGAAGCCAAUCCUCGAAAUCUUGUCUUAGUUCGGAUUGAGGGCUGUAACUCGCCCUCAUGACGAUGGAAUCCCUAGUAAUCGGACGUCAUCUAGCGUCCGGUGAAUGUGUCAAUGCUCCUUGCACACACUGCCCGUCAAGCCACUCGAGCAGGGUCUGGGUGAGGUUUAUUUUUAGAUAUUUCAAACCUAGGCUCAGUGAGAAGGGCUAAGUCGUCACAAGGUA